rnacentral:rRNA from 1 species
CGCUAUCACUCCUACGGGAGGCAGCAGUGGGGAAUCUUGCGCAAUGGGCGAAAGCCUGACGCAGCCAUGCCGCGUGAAUGAUGAAGGUCUUAGGAUUGUAAAAUUCUUUCACCGGGGACGAUAAUGACGGUACCCGGAGAAGAAGCCCCGGCUAACUUCGUGCCAGCAGCCGCGGUAAUACGAAGGGGGCUAGCGUUGCUCGGAAUUACUGGGCGUAAAGGGAGCGUAGGCGGACAUUUAAGUCAGGGGUGAAAUCCCCGGGGCUCAACCUCGGAAUUGCCUUUGAUACUGGUGUCUUGAGUAUGAGAGAGGUGUGUGGAACUCCGAGUGUAGAGGUGAAAUUCGUAGAUAUUCGGAAGAACACCAGUGGCGAAGGCGACACACUGGCUCAUUACUGACGCUGAGACUCGAAAGCAUGGGUAGCGAACAGGAUUAGAUACCCUGGUAG